AGUAGGGCGGGACACGUGUUAUCCUGUCUGAAUAUGGGGGGACCAUCCUCCAAGGCUAAAUACUCCUGACUGACCGAUAGUGAACCAGUACCGUGAGGGAAAGGCGAAAAGAACCCCUGUGAGGGGAGUGAAAUAGAACCUGAAACCGUGUACGUACAAGCAGUAGGAGCACCUUCGUGGUGUGACUGCGUACCUUUUGUAUAAUGGGUCAGCGACUUAUAUUCAGUGGCAAGGUUAACCAUCUAGGGGAGCCGUAGGGAAACCGAGUCUUAACUGGGCGCCAUAGUCUCUGGAUAUAGACCCGAAACCGAGUGAUCUAGCCAUGGGCAGGUUGAAGGUUGAGUAACAUCAACUGGAGGACCGAACCGACUAAUGUUGAAAAAUUAGCGGAUGACUUGUGGCUAGGGGUGAAAGGCCAAUCAAACUCGGAGAUAGCUGGUUCUCCCCGAAAGCUAUUUAGGUAGCGCCUCGGACGAAUACUACUGGGGGUAGAGCACUGUUAAGGCUAGGGGGUCAUCCCGACUUACCAACCCUUUGCAAACUCCGAAUACCAGUAAGUACUAUCCGGGAGACACACGGCGGGUGCUAACGUCCGUCGUGGAGAGGGAAACAACCCAGACCGCCAGCUAAGGUCCCAAAUUACAGCUAAGUGGGAAACGAUGUGGGAAGGCUUAGACAGCUAGGAUGUUGGCUUAGAAGCAGCCAUCAUUUAAAGAAAGCGUAAUAGCUCACUAGUCGAGUCGGCCUGCGCGGAAGAUGUAACGGGGCUAAGUUGUAAACCGAAGCUGCGGCAAUGUUCUUUGAACAUUGGGUAGGGGAGCGUUCUGUAAGCCGUUGAAGGUGUGUUGUAAAGCAUGCUGGAGGUAUCAGAAGUGCGAAUGCUGACAUGAGUAACGACAAGGGGGGUGAAAAACCUCCCCGCCGGAAGACCAAGGGUUCCUGUCCAACGUUAAUCGGGGCAGGGUAAGUCGACCCCUAAGGCGAGGCUGAAAAGCGUAGUCGAUGGGAAACGGGUUAAUAUUCCCGUACUUCUUACAAUUGCGAUGGGGGGACGGAGAAGGCUAGGUGGGCCUGGCGACGGUUGUCCAGGUUCAAGUGCGUAGGCUGAGUGUUUAGGUAAAUCCGGAUACUCUUAAGGCUGAGACACGACGUCGAGCUACUACGGUAGUGAAGUCAUUGAUGCCAUGCUUCCAGGAAAAGCCUCUAAGCUUCAGAUUGUAAGGAAUCGUACCCCAAACCGACACAGGUGGUCGGGUAGAGAAUACCAAGGCGCUUGAGAGAACUCGGGUGAAGGAACUAGGCAAAAUGGUACCGUAACUUCGGGAGAAGGUACGCUCUUGAUGGUGAAGUCCCUUGCGGAUGGAGCUGACGAGAGUCGCAGAUACCAGGUGGCUGCAACUGUUUAUUAAAAACACAGCACUGUGCAAAAUCGUAAGAUGACGUAUACGGUGUGACGCCUGCCCGGUGCCGGAAGGUUAAUUGAUGGGGUUAGCGUAAGCGAAGCUCUUGAUCGAAGCCCCGGUAAACGGCGGCCGUAACUAUAACGGUCCUAAGGUAGCGAAAUUCCUUGUCGGGUAAGUUCCGACCUGCACGAAUGGCGUAAUGAUGGCCACGCUGUCUCCACCCGAGACUCAGUGAAAUUGAAAUCGCUGUGAAGAUGCAGUGUACCCGCGGCUAGACGGAAAGACCCCGUGAACCUUUACUACAGCUUGGCACUGAACAUUGAACCUACAUGUGUAGGAU
rnacentral:rRNA from 1 species